rnacentral:tRNA from 1 species
GGGGAUUUAGCUCAGUGGUAGAGCGCUUGCCUAGCAAGCUCGAGUCCCCA